AAACUCAAAUGAAUUGACGGGGACCCGCACGAGCAGCGGAGCGUGUGGUUAAUUCGAUGCUACACGAAGAACCUUACCAGGGUUUGACAUGCAAGUGGUAGGAAACUGAAAGGGACCGACCUUCGGGGAGCUUGCACAGGUGCUGCAUGGCUGUCGUCAGCUCGUGUCGUGAGAUGUUCGGUUAAGUCCGCUAACGAGCGCAACCCUCACUGUGUGUUAUAUGUGUCACACGGGACUGCCGGUUUUAAGCCGGAGGAAGGUGGGAUGACGUCAAGUCAGCAUGGCCUUUAUAUCCUGGGCUACACACACGCUACAAUGGUCGGUACAAUAGGUUGCCAAGCCGCGAGGCGGAGCCAAUCCAUAAAAGCCGGCCUCAGUUCAGAUUGUAGGCUGCAACUCGCCUGCAUGAAGAUGGAGUUGCUAGUAACCGCAGGUCAGCAAUACUGCGGUGAAUACGUUCCCGGGGCUU
rnacentral:rRNA from 1 species